rnacentral:ncRNA from 1 species
AACAAGAGAGCUGACGGAUGGUGCGAGUCAGCCAGAAGGAUAUGAUGAACUCGCCUUUUAGUUUUGAGAAUGAAAAGUAAAGUAGUUCUCAACGGGUCACGUCCGUUAAUUGUGCUGAGCGAACAAGUCAAAAGGCUUGUUAAUUUGGGUGGUACCGCGGGAAUUAUACAACUCUCGUCCCUGAC